UAGAACGUUUUAGAGCAACAGCUUUUUCUUCGCUUUCGAGAGCGUUAAUCUCACCUGGCAUCUCUGCGCGUUCAAGGUUAUCGCCGACAUCAAGACCUUCGUAUCCUAAGAGUCAUCCAAACAAUGGUCUUUUAGGUGCGCGAUUUGGAUCGAUUGCCAGUCAGUUAUCCUCAGGAUCUGCCAGUUCUCCGGGUCGACAAAUAUACUCUCGUGAUGCUGUUGUAAGCGAUGUAUGUAUGUAUGUAUAAAUUUAACGUCCCAGAAGCCUCCCGAAGGGCAUGGAGACGUGCUAAGCUGGAG
rnacentral:sRNA from 1 species